rnacentral:rRNA from 1 species
CGGGUUAAGUCCCGUAACGAGCGCAACCCUUGUCCUUAGUUACCAGCACGUUAUGGUGGGCACUCUAAGGAGACUGCCGGUGGACAAACCGGAGGAAGGUGGGGAUGACGUCAAGUCAUCAUGGCCCUUACGGCCUGGGCUACACACGUGCUACAAUGGUCGGUACAAAGGGUUGCCAAGCCGCGAGGUGGAGCUAAUCCCAUAAAACCGAUCGUAGUCCGGAUCGCAGUCUGCAACUCGACUGCGUGAAGUCGGAAUCGCUAGUAAUCGUGAAUCAGAAUGUCACGGUGAAUACGUUCCCGGGCCUU